rnacentral:rRNA from 1 species
AUUGAACGCUGGCGGCAUGCCUUACACAUGCAAGUCGAACGGUAACAGGUUAAGCUGACGAGUGGCGAACGGGUGAGUAAUAUAUCGGAACGUGCCCAGUCGUGGGGGAUAACUGCUCGAAAGAGCAGCUAAUACCGCAUACGACCUGAGGGCGAAAGCGGGGGAUCGCAAGACCUCGCGCGAUUGGAGCGGCCGAUAUCAGAUUAGGUAGUUGGUGGGGUAAAAGCCUACCAAGCCGACGAUCUGUAGCUGGUCUGAGAGGACGACCAGCCACACUGGGACUGAGACACGGCCCAGACUCCUACGGGAGGCAGCAGUGGGGAAUUUUGGACAAUGGACGCAAGUCUGAUCCAGCCAUGCCGCGUGCGGGAAGAAGGCCUUCGGGUUGUAAACCGCUUUUGUCAGGGAAGAAAAGGUUCUGGUUAAUACCUGGGACUCAUGACGGUACCUGAAGAAUAAGCACCGGCUAACUACGUGCCAGCCGCCGCGGUAAUAC